rnacentral:rRNA from 1 species
UACGUAGGGGGCAAGCGUUGUCCGGAUUUAUUGGGCGUAAAGAGCGUGUAGGCGGCCAAACAGGUCAGCUGUGAAAACUCGAGGCUCAACCUCGAGACGUCGGUUGAAACCGUUUGGCUAGAGUCCGGAAGAGGAGAGUGAAAUUCCCGGUGUAGCGGUGAAAUGCGCAGAUAUCGGGAAGAACACCCGUGGCGAAGGCGGCUCUCUGGGACGGUACUGACGCUGAGACGCGAAAGCGUGGGGAGCGAACAGG